GAUUGCCACACCUUAGAGAUUGCUGACCACAGACAGAGAUCAGAAGGAGACAGUUGGAGGCCUCACCAUCUCUGAAAUUACAUAGAUCAGCUGUAAAGCCACAGGCCAAAAGGUGGGGUUAGAGGCCAUUGAGAGAAAAAGAUUGCCAGCAUUGCCUUCAACCUGCUCGUAACACUUGCAGUUCUCCAUUAAGACAGUAACCAGCACCAAAUCUCGUGCUUCAGGGCUUGGAUGGUCACCAGCAGCGGUCAGGAAGGAUUUUCCAGUGGGUCAGCUGUAUUCUGGGAGUGUUUGGCCACACUGGGAGAUGAGGCACUAGACAGGGUGCACCAGGACUAUAAAGUUGUACGUGUUAUGCUUAUAAGAAGCACACAGGAUUUUUUCAGGGGAAAAGGCAAUACGACACCUUUAUUGAAGAUAUAACAAUUAGCAUAUACAUUUAAUUACAUAUACACACUGUCCCACCAGCUGAUGUUAUAGUUACCAGUCUGGAUCAAUCUAGUGGCCAGCUAGGUUGAUCAUGGGUAGGUAGGAGCCGGGUUCUGUCAGUCGCAACACGAUGCUCCGGGGAAGUCUUGGCAGGACGAACCCAAAGUAUCAUGGCAAGGCACUCUGUUUAUGUAGUGAUUUUCCUUCAUUGGGACCAAUGAAUUUACACCAUUAUGCUGUAAUUGUUUGAGUGCUUGUUUUAUUAACUAAUUUAUUUUAAUUUUGUUUUUGUAUUAUGUUUUUUAGGGAGUUACCCCAUGCUGGUUUUGAUUACAGCUGUUUUAUUCCCAUUGAUAGGUGCCUGUUUCAUCUUUAGAGUCAUCUAUCUGCCCUCCUCUGACAUUUCAGUAGGGACAUGUUGCAACCUCCUGGCACCCUUGCGUCUGUCUCCCUAGAACAUCUGGUCUGGUGAUAGCCUUCACACUUAUUUUUUUUAACACACACAUUCUUCAUUCACACACAACAGAAUUUAUUUACACAACAUUUGAACAGGAACAUUAAAUUGCAAUGCAAGAAAAAAAA